ACUGCUAUUAUACCAAGUAGGUUAUACUCUAGACUGAUCUGAUUAGUGGUUGGACGCUCUCGUAUUAUUCAUCAUAAGUGAAUUAAGAAGAAGCAACUUAAAUUAUGUCCAUGCAUUUUGCCUGCUCCUCUGAGAUUUGCUUUCGUUUUUUGUACAGCUUUUAUAUUAGCUGGAGGAACAAAAUAGAAGGAGGCUCCAAAAAGGGUUUAAAAAAGAGAAUGAUAAAAGUUGCUCGUUACCUUUUCCUCAUCUCGGUGAAACUAACCCGAACCGCACGACGUAACGAGGGCAUCAACUUGUCGUGCUACAACAUUGGCUGAACUUCCGUAUUGGCAGGAUCUACAACCUUAUCAAAAUUCGAACAUCAGAACGUCUAAGCAACAACAACAAAGCCCUUGUCAUUUUGGCUGUUACACUGGUCAUUUGAACAGAGAGAAUGAAUUUUCUUCCCCAUGGCUUGGCUCUUAGCACUCUUGUUCCAGACGGCUUCAGUACGUCAAAUUAGAAACCAAUGCCGACCAUCUGGAUAUCACGUACUCGACACAAUACGCCCACUGCACCGCCGUACGCAUUUGCUGGAGUGCAUACGUUCUCCUAGAUCAAAUUGCAAGAUUUUAUGAGCUAGAUAAUUUGCCAAUUGCCUUUACAGAAUUUUGAGAUAAAUUGUUUCACAAUAACGUAAUACUUAACACAUUAACCUAAACUUCACCCUGUCGACUGCCGAGCAGAAUGUAUACUCACUAUACUGAGACUGACUAAUGCACUCUCCCAUAAAACCAACGCUAGGUUUCAAAACUUCUUGAUUAAUUACAUUUUUCAAAGAUCUUAUUUGAGCAGUUUGUAAUUAUUUGCCAACAUUGUGAAAUAUUUUAUACGUUAAUAAAUUUUUACAGAUGCGAAUGAAAUAAUAAAAUAUCAAACGUU